AACGAACGCUGGUGGUAUGCUUAACACAUGCAAGUCGAACGGGUAUAGCAAUAUAUCAGUGGCAAACGGGUGAGUAAUGUAUAGGAAUCUACCUAGCAGUAAGGAAUAACUUUGGGAAACCAAAGCUAAUGCCAUAUAUUACCGAUUUAUCGGGAAAGAUUUAUCGCUGUUAGAUGAGCCUGUAUCAGAUUAGCUUGUUGGUGGGGUAAUGGCCUACCAAGGCAAUGAUCUGUAGCUGGUCUGAGAGGAUGAUCAGCCACACUGGGACUGCGACACGGCCCAG
rnacentral:rRNA from 1 species